rnacentral:rRNA from 1 species
AGUGAACGCUGGCGGUAGGCCUAACACAUGCAAGUCGAACGGCAGCACAGUAAGAGCUUGCUCUUACGGGUGGCGAGUGGCGGACGGGUGAGGAAUACAUCGGAAUCUACUUUUUCGUGGGGGAUAACGUAGGGAAACUUACGCUAAUACCGCAUACGACCUACGGGUGAAAGCAGGGGAUCUUCGGACCUUGCGCGAUUGAAUGAGCCGAUGUCGGAUUAGCUAGUUGGCGGGGUAAAGGCCCACCAAGGCGACGAUCCGUAGCUGGUCUGAGAGGAUGAUCAGCCACACUGGAACUGAGACACGGUCCAGACUCCUACGGGAGGCAGCAGUGGGGAAUAUUGGACAAUGGGCGCAAGCCUGAUCCAGCCAUACCGCGUGGGUGAAGAAGGCCUUCGGGUUGUAAAGCCCUUUUGUUGGGGAAGAAAAGCAGCAGGUUAAUACCCCGCUGUUCUGACGGUACCCAAUGAAUAAGCACCGGCUAACUUCGUG